AAUCUUAAUGCCCAGAUGCAGGUA
rnacentral:miRNA from 8 species